AAUUCAUUGUUUAUACAUUUAAAACUGUUGAAAGCUUUUACUGAGUCUUUUCUAGGGGACAUUAAUAAUUGUAAUUGAAAAUAUUCUUUCUAAGUAUACUGAUAUACCUGGUAAGCUCAGAGCAACAUCUGCUGAAUAGAACAUAUUCUUAAUUUUAGCUUUGUUAAUACUAAAACUUAUAAAUACUCAGUACCUUUGGCUUGAUUUAGGCUACUUUUCAUCAACAAAUAUUUUUAACAAGACAAAAUUUAUCAAAUACGUUGUCUCUAUUUAUGAUUCUUUGUAACGUUUCACCAAAUUUAGAUCCUGCUAAAUCAUAGGCCUCUAUUACAUUCCAUUCUAGUAAAGAAUAUAAACUUAUUCAAUUGAAAGGAACUGGAAACAGGAUGGGGAGCUGGACCAGGUGACAGUGGCAUGGCCUAUGCCCCAGGCUUUCCUGCUGGGGUCCACCCAUGAGCCUGUAGGUGCCCUCAUGGAGCUCCAGCCCAGCCCUGGAAGCUUGGCUGAGAGCUUCCUGGAGGAGGAGCUUCGGCUCAAUGCUGAGCUGAGUCAACUGCAGUUUUCGGAGCCUGUGGGCAUCAUUUACAAUGCUGUGGAGUAUGCAUGGGAGCCACAUCGCAACUACGUGACUCGCUACUGCCGGGGCCCCAAGGAAGUGCUCUUCCUGGGCAUGAACCCUGGACCUUUUGGCAUGGCACAGACUGGGGUGCCCUUUGUGGAAGUGAGCAUGGUCUGGGACUGGUUGGGCAUUGGGGGGAUUGUGCUGACCCCUCCCCAAGAGCACCCUAAGCGACCAGUGCUGGGACUGGAAUGCCCACAGUCAGAAGUGAGUGGUGCCUGAUUCUGGGUCUUUUUCCGGAACCUCUGUGGACAGCCUGACGUCUUCUUCCAUCACUGCUUUGUCCACAAUCUAUGCCCUCUGCUUUUCCUGGCUUCCCGUGAGUUCCUGGCGCAACCUCACCCCUGCUGAGCUGCCUGCCAAGCAGUGAGAACAGCUUCUUGGGAUCUGUGAUGCAGCCCUUUGCUGGCAGGGACCAAGAAAAAGCACAGGACACAAAAUUAAGAGUGAACUUCUUAUGGGAGGCUGCAGCUGGAUCAGAGGAAAAAUCCAGUGUGGCAGAGUGAAAGUCAGCAGACCUGCAUUUUCGUCCCAGCUUUGAGACUUGUGAACUUUUUGAUGGACAAAUUGAGAAACCUCUCCAUGCCUCAGGCUCCUCAUCUGUAAAAUGGGGAUGCCUACCUUUUGGGGUUGGUGUGAGGAUUAAUUGAGAUAACACUUGAAAGUGCCUUGCAUGGGCCUGGCUUGUGGGUGCUGAUUACAAUACUCUUCUUUCUUGCCUCUGGGUUAGGGAUUCACUGCACUGCACCACAAUGGUAGCCCCUCUCCAUUCUGAAUACCUUACUAGGGGAGAGUGUGGGCUUCCACCUGUGGCCAGGGUGAGGGGAAAAUUCUCACCUUGUCAGAGAUGGAUCAAUGACUAUGAAAAACCUAGCCUGUGUUUUUUUCACUCUAAGCAUUAAAAGCUCC